UACGAAGGGGGCAAGCGUUGUUCGGAAUUACUGGGCGUAAAGGGCGCGUAGGCGGCCUGCUAAGUCGAACGUGAAAUCCCUGGGCUCAACCCAGGAACUGCGUCCGAUACUGGUUGGCUUGAAUCCGGGAGAGGGACGUGGAAUUCCAGGUGUAGCGGUGAAAUGCGUAGAUAUCUGGAGGAACACCGGUGGCGAAGGCGGGUCUCUGGGCCGAUACUGACGCUGAGGAGCGAAAGCAUGGGGAGCGAACAGG
rnacentral:rRNA from 1 species